rnacentral:rRNA from 1 species
UACGUAGGGAGCAAGCGUUGUUCGGAUUUACUGGGCGUAAAGAGCGCGCAGGCGGCUGGCCAAGUCCGAUGUGAAAUCUCCCGGCUUAACCGGGAAACUGCAUCGGAAACUGGUCGGCUUGAAGGUGGGAGAGGGUAGCGGAAUUCCCGGUGUAGUGGUGAAAUGCGUAGAUAUCGGGAGGAACACCAGUGGCGAAGGCGGCUACCUGGCCCAUUCUUGACGCUGAGGCGCGAAAGCUAGGGGAGCGAACGGG